GCUGAGAUAGCCAAGUUGGUCAAGGCACUUGUUUGAAGAACAAGCUAUGUUGGUUCGAUUCCAACUCUCAGCA
rnacentral:tRNA from 1 species